rnacentral:misc_RNA from 1 species
GUCAAGGUCAUAUCAGACCAUGCAAAAAACUGUUUUUCACAUCAUAUAUACUGUCCCCUUAGCUCUAUCUGGCUCAUAAUUCACAUAUACUAAGUAUUUGUGGAAAGGGUGUGCAGUGACUUUGAACCUUCAAGGUCAAAUGAGCAGGUUAUAGCAGAUCUCUUUAAAGUCCAUUUUAGACCAUAAUUUAUUUCCCACUUGCUUCAUCUUGCUCAGAUUGAUCCAAAAGAAUGCCUUCAGGUAAGGGUUAAUGAGCUUGAAUUAAAGUUCUAUGCCAACUGGAAAAUUCUAAGUCAUAGGUAAAGGUCAAAGCAAAAUCCUCUGAAAUGCCUUUCCUCCUGUUGUCCAUUAUUUAUGCUGGACCGUUUGAGAUGGUCACUAUCUCAAUGUCAGAUAUCUAGUAAUUGUUUACAUUUCAUUCAUUGUUUAAGACUUCUUUACCAUGAUAUUUGUAUAUCAUGUUUGGUACAUGUACAUGACAUGUGUACAAUUUGUCAACUUUUUCUCCAUGCAGGGUUUUCACAUUUAUGUUGAUUACUUUACAUGUUCAAACACUGGGUUUUGUCUGUGGUUUGUAACUGUUUUGUGUGGAUUACAUAUACAAGUAUAUUUGAAGACAUUCACUGUAUGUGUCUCUGCAUGAUUGUCACAGUUUUAUCUUGAUUACAUCCACAUGUGAAUAUGAAUUUCAAAAAAUUUUUUUUUGGAAUAACAGUUGGUUUAUAGUACAUACACUGAUUCUGUUCUCGAUCUGUUACAGUUUCCAUAUUUUUACAGGAUUCAGACUGGGUGGAUUACGAUGAACCAGCAAGUCAGUCUGUGGGAGUGUAUAACAUAGAACACAAGUUUGUUGUGGUCAAAUAGGACUUGAAGUCUAUCUUUUAAUUGUGUGCAUAAUAAAUGAAUGUCAC